rnacentral:rRNA from 1 species
CCUACGGGUGGCUGCAGUGGGGAAUAUUGCACAAUGGGGGAAACCCUGAUGCAGCGACGCCGCGUGAGUGAAGAAGUAAUUCGUUAUGUAAAGCUCCAUCUGCAGGGAAGUAAAUGACGGUACCUGAGUAAGAAGCCCCGUCGAACUACGUUCCAGCAGCCGCUGUAAUACGUAGGGGGCAAGAGUGAUCCGGAUGUACUGGGUGUAAAGGGUGCGUAGACGGCAGGGCAAGUCUGGAGUGAAAGGGGGGGGCUCAAUCCCCGGAGUGCUCUGGAAACAGUACGGCUUGAGUACAGGAGAGGUAAGUGGAAUUCCUGGUGUAGCGGUGAAAUGCGUAGAUAUUAGGAAGAACACCAGUGGCGAAGGCGGCUUACUGGACUGUAACUGACGUUGAGGCUCGAAAGCGUGGGGAGCAAACAGGAUUAGAUACCCGGGUAGUC